ACAAAACUACAGAUAAUUUGUAAUCCAAAACUUUUAUCCAGAAACAUUUUAAGACCACAGUGAUGUGAGCAAGUAACUUGAAUGAUGUGUGCCAGGCUGAGUUCAGUUUUGUGGGAAGGCAAAUGCAAUCCAUCGUGGAAUGGGAUAGUCCCAUUUAGACAAUAUGGAUAAGGAAAUCUUGGGUUCUUCUCUGUUAUCCAGGAUGAUUUCCAGGGAGGAGGAUUUCCUAAACAGUUUGACCAGAAACAGCUAGGAAGAUACCUCUGUGUGUUCUAAAAACCUGUGAAGCCGGCACCGCCAAUACUCAGGAAGCAGAUUCGCCUUACUCUGCCCUUGGCUGAGUCAGAGCUCCCCUCUGGCUCUCUGGAUGAUGAUGAGUAACAGCUGGCCUUUAGGGUGAGGAGAGGAUUGCCAGAGAGAUGAAGUUUGAAAGAGGAGUCAGCAGCAGCAGGUGUGGGACUCUCCUCACAGGCUGCAUUCUAGAGACUGUUGCCUCCCAAGAUUCAACUGUCAAAGGGCAGGUCCCUGUUCUCAGUAGGUGAGGGAAUAAAACUUGGACACCGGGCCAUCUCAGAACACAUCUCAGCCGCACACAAAUGGAGACCAGAUCCCUUCCUUCCUGGUUUGUUGAUUGGUGGGAUCUUCCUCUGAGCAUCCUGAACAUAUUCAUUUAAUAAAUAUUUAUUGAGCACCUGCUGUGUGCCAGGCACUGUCUGAUGUGCUGCAGAAUAGAACAGCAAAUAAGAGCAAAAG